CAUUUAACAUCUGGGAGAGCCCCCACUGGGACCCUCAUCCUAGAAGCCUCCAAAGAAGUCCAGGUCAUCGGCCAGCCAUCUCCUGCUGCUACUCCUCACAAGGCUCCCCCUCCAUCUUUGGUGGCUUCUCCACCAUAACCGAGCAGUUCCUGGCCUCGUCCAACCUGAGCCCUGGUUUCCACUGCCAGACCAGAUGAGAAAACUGAUCGGGGUGGAGUAGCUGUAACAGCAGCAGGCAUCAAGCUCAAAGAUGUCAGCUGAUACUCUGGAUGAGGGGACCGACCCACCGUCAUCACCUCCAAUCCCCCCCCCCUUCCGAUGCGGACGGUGGGUCAGCUGCAACGCGCAGAGAUGACCUGAUGCUGCCGUCUACAUUGGCUUACUCUAACCCUACUCACCCAUCCCUGUUGCUUGUCAUGUGUUUCCAUGGUGUUAUGGUGUGAAGAUUCGUGUGCUUUUGUGCUGAGGAGUUUUUGUUUUCUGUUCUCAUACCAAGAAACUAGCCAAUCAGGAGCUCAGUCUGAGCAGAGUUUUUCUCCUCCACUGCCCUUUUGUGUUGAACAUUUCAUUGUUGUUCUUUACGCUACCUGUUCUGACCUGUCUCCCCAAUGUGAAGUUUGUGUAAUGUAUGUAUGGUUGGAAGAGGUCCAAUUUUGCUGCAGGCAACUGCAAGUCACAAAUAAAGUCUUCAUCAAAUCAAAUCAUCGGCAUGGAUAUCACCAGCACAGUGA